CCGUUCACGAUCGUCGACAAUCCGAUGUACUGGGAUCCGACGCUGAACUUCCUGUCCAUUGCCGUCAUGCGGCAGAGCAUGUCCGGACUUCUACUUACCUGCCUUGUCAUCAUCACAUACAAGAUGGCGAGCACGAUCGAAGAGCCUUUCACGGAUCAUAUCUACAAAGAAAAGGCCGAUAAAGAGAAGGUACUGUGAGACAGGGAGAAGGAACUCCAAGGCAGGGAGAAGGCGCUGUGAAACAGAGAGGUGCUGUGAGACAGAGAAGAACAACGCGUGGCGACAGAGCGAAGACGCAGACGGAUCAGCGUGACGCAAAGAAGUUACUGUUGCUGCUGCCAAGGGCAUCGCUAGACAACAUCAAGCCGCUUGCAACGCCAUCUAUCUGUCUGAAUUUUUGUUUGCGCGUCUAUCUCUCUAUCCACCUUCGUAAUAUAUACAUCAAGAAUGAGUUGGCCAGUCACUAGAUGGCGCUCCUUAUGAUUGGUAUGAUUUGACGUAUGCAUUGUGGGGUCAUCAUUUGGUUUACGGAGGUUAUCAUUGGGUUUACAUCUCAAAUUAUGUCAAACGCACACAGUAUGUGAUCACGAAGCUCUUAGAAACAAAUUGUGUCAUUUGGACAUCACGCAUUGUUUAUAAGUGUGCUGAAGAAUCAAGAUUCAUUGUUAUGUAUUUCCAUAUUGGUUGGUACAUGCAAUGUAUAUAUAUAUAUAAAGGUUAUGAUUAUAAGUUUAAUGAUACUGAAGGUAGGAUUAUUAAAAUAAACCGGUCGUUGGCAGAUUUAACAUGAAA